GACGAACGCUGGCGGCGUGCUUAACACAUGCAAGUCGAACGGAAAGGCCUGCUUUCCCUUGUGGAUUGCGGGUACUCGAGUGGCGAACGGGUGAGUAACACGUGAGUGAUCUGCCCCCAACUUGGGUAUAAGCCUGGGAAACUGGGUCUAAUUCCCGAUAGGACUGCAGGGUGGUGCCUGUGGUGGAAAACGAUUUUCUAGUGGUUGGGGAUGAGCUCGCGGCCUAUCAGCUUGUUGGUGGGGUAAUGGCCUACCAAGGCGGCGACGGGUAGCCGGCCUGAGACGGUGGACGGCCACAUUGGGACUGAGAUACGGCCCAGACUCCUACGGAAGGCAGCAGUGGGGAAUAUUGCACAAUGGGCGGAAGCCUGAUGCAGCGACGCAGCGUGGGGGAUGACGGCCUUCGGGUUGUAAACUCCUUUCGACCGCGAGGAAGCCACCUGGUUGGAAGGGUGGUGACGGUAGUGGUAGAAGAAGCACCGGCUAACUACGUG
rnacentral:rRNA from 1 species